GACGAUUUUACUUGUUAGUGGCAGAGUACUGUCAGUAAAUGCGUUAACAAACACGUCUGACAUUGGUCUCUUAUUGACCCAUUAACAGGCAAUGCACCCUGCUUUUAUAGUAUUCUUUAGUAACUCUUCAGAAUUUGCUCAGUCAAUGUAAGUAAAAUACAUCUUGUAUUGAAGCGCUUUCAUGUACAAAGUUUCGUUUGAAUACAGCACAGAGUAGGAAUAUUUAUUUUGAAUUUUUCAAAAUAUCGGGUUUUUACUCGCACGCACGUUUAUAGCUCGAUUGAUGCACGUGCAAAUCAUGCCGAC